rnacentral:rRNA from 1 species
UACGGGGGGGGCAAGCGUUGUUCGGAAUUACUGGGCGUAAAGGGCUCGUAGGCGGCCAACUAAGUCAGACGUGAAAUCCCUCGGCUUAACCGGGGAACUGCAUCUGAUACUGGAUGGCUUGAGAUUGGGAGAGGGAUGCGGAAUUCCAGGUGUAGCGGUGAAAUGCGUAGAUAUCUGGAGGAACACCCGUGGCGAAGGCGGCCCCCUGGGCCGUACCUGACGCUGAGGCGCGAAGGCUAGGGGAGCGAACGGG